rnacentral:rRNA from 1 species
AGUGAACGCUGGCGGCGUGCUUAACACACGCAAGCCGAACGAGAACGGAUUAUAGCUUGCUAUAAUUGCCAGCUAAGUGGCGCACGGGUGAGUAAUGUAUAGGUAAUAUGCCUCUUACUAAGGGAUAACAAAUGGAAACGUUUGCUAAUACCUUAUACUCCUUAUUAACAGAAGUUAAUAAGGGAAAGAUUUAUUGGUAAGAGAUUAGCCUGUAUUGUAUCAGUUAGUUGGUGGGGUAAUGGCUUACCAAGACUAUGACACAUAACUGGUUUGAGAGGAUGGUCAGUCACACUGGAACUGAGACACGGUCCAGACUCCUACGGGAGGCAGCAGUGGGGAAUAUUGCACAAUGGGCGGAAGUCUGACGCAGCAACGCCGCGUGGAGGAUGACACAUUUCGGUGCGUAAACUCCUUUUAUAUGAGAAGAUAAUGACGGUAUUAUAUGAAUAAGCACCGGCUAACUCCGUGCCAGCAGCCGCAGUAACAC